CAGCACCUCAAGUGGUCAGGAUGAUUAUUGGGCCUAAAGCAUCCGUAGCCGGCGCUGUAAGUUUUCGGUUAAAUCUGUACGCUCAACGUACAGGCUGCCGGGAAUACUGCAGCGCUAGGGAGUGGGAGAGGUAGACGGUACUCGGUAGGAAGGGGUAAAAUCCUCUGAUCUAUUGAUGACCACCUGUGGCGAAGGCGGUCUACCAGAACACGUCCGACGGUGAGGGAUGAAAGCUGGGGGAGCAAACCGGAUUAGAUACCCGAGUAGUCC
rnacentral:rRNA from 1 species